GACGAACGCUGGCGGCGUGCUUAACACAUGCAAGUCGAACGGAAAGGCCCUGCUUUUGUGGGGUGCUCGAGUGGCGAACGGGUGAGUAACACGUGAGUAACCUGCCCUUGACUUUGGGAUAACUUCAGGAAACUGGGGCUAAUACCGGAUAGGAGCUCCUGCUGCCUGGUGGGGGUUUGAAAGUUUCGGCGGUUGGGGAUGGACUCGCGGCUUAUCCGCUUGUUGGUGUGGUAGUGGCUUACCAAGGCUUUGACGGGUAGCCGGCCUGAGAGGGUGACCGGCAACAUUGGGACUGAGAUACGGCCCAGACUCGUAAGGGAGGCAGCAGUGGGGAAUAUUGCACAAUGGGCGGAAGCCUGAUGCAGCAACGCCGCGUGAGGGAUGACGGACUUCGGGUUGUAAACCGCUUACGCCUGUGACGAAGCGUGAGUGAAGGUAAUGUGUAAAGAAGCACCGGCUAACUACGUG
rnacentral:rRNA from 1 species